UUUACGAUAUUAUAUAUUCUAAGGUUUGUGCCUAUGUUCUUAGAAUAUUUUCAAGCCGAGAUAAGAUUUACACAAAUUAAUAUACUUGUGGUAGUGCCUGUUGAAAUAAAUAAAUGAACAAAGAAAUAAAGUGACAAAAAUUCAGGGAUUAAGAACCCAUGUAAUAGCUGGAUGACAAAAUGGUUUGGGCAAUACAGCGCACUGAUAACCUCAUUGAUAAUGUCUAUUGCGGUGGCGGCAGCAAUAAUAGUAAACUGUGGAUGUUGUUGUAUGCCAUGUAUCAGAUCUUUGUGUAACAGGUGUAUCGUGAAGACGGUGGAGGGAAAGGAUCCUCCACCGUAUCAGAUGCCACUGCUAGGAGGAGGAUGAACCAGUGGUUGAUCUCCUGUAAAGGAGAUCAAAAGGGGGAAUGAAGGAAAAUGAGAACAUUUCCCACAUCAGUAUAUCCUUUCAUUAUUAAUAAUUGCAUUGCUUCUAAUAUUAUAAAGCAGUUAUGAGUAUUAAUAUUUAGCAGUUUAUCACAUAGUUUUGAAAUUAGUUUUGUUUAUGAUUGGUCUUAUUUGUUGUGCAUGAUCAAAGCUUAUAUAUGAAUCCAUUGCAUUUGACUCUAAAAGGUCAUGUCUGCAGAUUUUGGAGGCUUGCAGUCUUGUGUGGUAUGUAUGUAUGUGUGUUUUUUAACUUUUGCUUUGCAGAGACACCUGGGGAGAAAAACAGGAUGUCGGGGCGACAGGGUGAACUAAAGGUCAAUGUUGUUUAUAGCAGCAUGAACUUCUAAGACAGAAGUAAAACUUUCCAUCGAACGGGCCCCCACCCAACUACACAUAUAUAUUUUUGGGGUCAGAGGGAAAGGCAGAUCAGAUCAACCGCUCCUCGGGGGACCUGAUUCUGCAUUGGUGUUGUGUAAAGAUAGGGACAGUUUUGACCCAGAGCUCUGUAAUACUUCAUUUGAGAUACUUAUUAAAAAUAAUUUGAUUUGA